rnacentral:tRNA from 1 species
GGAGUUGUGGCUCAGUGGUAGAGCACUUGCUUGGCAUGCUUGAGGCCCUAGGUUCGAUCCUUAGCACCA